rnacentral:rRNA from 1 species
UACGUAGGGUGCAGGCGUUAAUUGGAAUUACUGGGCGUAAAGCGUGCGCAGGCGGUCUAUUAAGACAGGUGUGAAAUCCCCGGGCUUAACCUGGGAACUGCGCUUGUAACUGAUAGGCUUGAGUGUGGCAGAGGGGGGUGGAAUUCCAGGUGUAGCAGUGAAAUGCGUAGAUAUCUGGAGGAACACCGAUGGCGAAGGCAGCCCCCUGGGCUAACACUGACGCUCAUGCACGAAAGCGUGGGGAGCAAACAGG